rnacentral:rRNA from 1 species
AAACUUUGCAAUGUGCGAAAGCACGACAAGGUUAAUCCGAGUGAUUUCUGCUAAAGGAAUCUUUUGUCAGUCCUAGAAACACUGUUGAAUAAGGGGUGGGCAAGUUCUGGUGUCAGCCGCCGCGGUAAAACCAGCACCUCAAGUGGUCAGGAUGAUUAUUGGGCCUAAAGCAUCCGUAGCCUGCUUUAUCAGUUUUCGGUUAAAUCCACACGCUCAACGUAUGGGCUGCCGGGAAUACUGCAAAGCUAGGGAGUGGGAGAGGUAGACGGUACUCGGUAGGAAGGGGUAAAAUCCUUUGAUCUAUCGAUGACCACCUGUGGCGAAGGCGGUCUACCAGAACACGUCCGACGGUGAGGGAUGAAAGCUGGGGGAGCAAACCGGAUUAGAUACCCGGGUAGUCCCAGCUGUAAACUAUGCAAACUCAGUGAUGCAUUGGCUUGAUGCCAAUGCAGUGUUGCAGGGAAGCCGUUAAGUUUGCCGCCUGGGAAGUACGUACGCAAGUAUGAAACUUAAAGGAAUUGGCGGGGGAGCAC